AUUGGAUCUCAUCCCGCUCUCAGAUCCCAUUGACCGAUCUGGCAGGAUCGGGCCGCUUCUGACUUACCUUUUUACUAUUUGUAAUGACUUUUGACGCGCAUUUCUGUGUUUGAAUGAAGUAGGGUAAGAAGAGGUGAAUUAUGCAGUAUACACUACAAAUCACCAAGAGGGAACUUAUUCUACACGGGACAGCACGGCUUCUCCAUCAGAUUUCUAGGACAUCUAAGAAGGGUUGAUGCUGUUCAAUGGCCACACAAAAAGCAAGGAACUUGAAGGAUUCAAAUCCAGGAGGAGCCACUCCAACACUGCUGUAGUUACUCCACGUGCAGAUAUUGGGCUAAAGAAGCAGGCCCCAUCAAUAGUCAGUAAACAACUACUGACUGCGUCUUCUUCUGUUUGUAUCUCUGUGAGAGAAUGA
rnacentral:lncRNA from 1 species